ensembl:lncRNA
GAAGAUUUUUAUCUAACUCUGAAAAGUCAGACUUUUCCCUGGUGAUCCAGUGGUUAUGACUCUGUGCUUCACAUCCAGGGGGCUUGGGUUCAAUCCCUGACUGAGGAACUAACAUUCCACAUGCCAUGGAGCAUAGCCAAAAAUUAAAAAUUAAAAAAAAAAAGAAAAAUCACCUAGUCCCAGGAAGGAGUUGAGAGGCUAAAAUAACCCCAAGGGUUCUACAGUCAUUCACAUUCAUACUGCACGCAUGUGUGGUCAAUUGUCUUUGUGUGGUCUGACUCUUUGAGACCCCAUGGACCAUAGCCCACCAGGCUCCUCUGUCCAUGGGAUUUACCAGGCAGGAAUACUGAAGCGGGUUGCCAUUUCCUUCUUCAGGGGAUCUUCCCAAUGCAGGGAUUAAAUGCAAGCCUCCCAUGUCUCCUGGAUUGGCAGGUGGGUUCUUUACCACUGAGCAACCUGGAAAGCCUCACUCACGGUGACCGGUUCUAAACGCAUCAUCCACCAUUGGCGGGGCAGAUAAACGAAAAAGGCUGCAGCCUAGAAAUGGUGGCUACAUCAUUCCUCGAGGCCACAGUCAAGGUCGCCCAGUUGGUGGAUGGGGUUUAAACUAAUGUUUUGCUCAUGACAUGAUGGUCCACUUCAGAAGCUGAUUGGAGGGGUCACCCCAGAUCAUAGGAAGCUUAAAUUUUUUCUUAAUCUCAUUCCCCCUCCUCCUCGGUGCUCCCCCAAUUUAGGGUGGGAAAUACAGCUUUUAAUUCCUGCCACCAGCUAGCCAUGAGCUCCCAAAGUCACUUGCUGCUUUCUUUCCAUGAGUAAAAUGGGGUUAAUAAAGAUCUGCUCUCCACGCUGUAAGAGCUGAGUGAGACACAGGACCUCAGAGCACUCUAUCAGCACUCACGUGCUCGACAGAUAUGAAGACAGUUACCCUGAAUAUUCACUGGAAGGACAAGGCUGAAGCUCCAGUACUAUGGCCACUCGAUGCGAAGAGCCGACUCAUUGGAAAAGACCCUGAUGCUGGGAAAGAUAGAAGGCAGGAGGAGAAGGGGGCGGCAGAGGAUGAGAUGGUUGUAUAGCAUCACUGACUCAGUGGACAUGAGUUUGAACAAAUUUCCUUCUGACUGUCGUGGGGCUAACUGGUACCAUGCAGGGCCUGUGGGGCUCCCGGGCACAAAGACUUUCUGUGUCCCCCAUUUCUUUGAUUAUAGGAACCAGCCUUCAUUCAGCCACCAUGACAUUCUCUGAGUUCCAAGGGACAGAUUCAAGCAGUUGUUAAUUAGGGGAAGGAGGGGAUGCAAGACCAGGGAGAAAGUCAAGAGCAGCCUUGGGGUACUGAAACCCCCUCCAGGUGGGAGAAGUUAAUGAUUAAUGAUGGUAUGCUGCCAACAAACCUGUAGACCCCAGACCAGUUAGACCUGAAGGUUGACGAUGCUGACUCCUGCUUACCUGACCACCAACCUAUCAGAAGAAUGUCCACAAACAGAUCAUACCCUCUUUGAGCAGUUACUAUAAAACUUCUCACUCCCUUCCCCAAGCUGGGACACAUGGUUGAGGGCAUUAGCCUACUUUGGCCCCUUUUGCUUGGCAAGGUGAUAAAGCCCAAAACUACUUCACCCAAAACUUGGUUUCAGAGAUUCGAUUUGGCACUGGUGUGCAGAGAAGCUGAGCUUUGGGCCUCGUAAUGCCUGACUGCCUUCAGGCUGACUUUGAUUAUUCUUAAGGCUUUAGGCAUUGAAUUAUUUUCAUGGCUGCUUACCAUUAAUUGUAGGAGGAAUCUACAACCCUACUCCAGAAUCCUUUCUCUGACAGCAAAAGUGUUUGAUUUUUCUACAGACAGUUAAGUUUUAUGUAAAAUAAAUGGUCAAAAAUGAAAAAUAGUCAUCCCUCUUUUGGAAUGUUUUCAUUGUUGUUUUAGUCACUCAGUCAUGUCCACCCCAUGGGCUGUUUUAGUCGCUCAGUCGUGUCCACCCCAUGGGCUGUUUUAGUCGCUCAGUCGUGUCCACCCCAUGGGCUGUUUUAGUCGCUCAGUCGUGUCCACCCCAUGGGCUGCAGCCCACCAGGGUCCUCUGUCCACAGGAUUUCCCAGGCAAGAAUACUAGAGUGGGUUGCCAUUUCCUUCUCCAGGGGAUCUUCCCGAUCCAGGAAUUGAACCCACAUCUCGUGCAUUGGCUACCAGAUUCUUUACCACUGAGCCACCAGGGAAGCCCCUUCUGGACUGUACUGGAGGCAAUGUAGUAUAGACAGAG